UCAAGCUACAAAGAGCGCAAGGGGAAUGCCUUGGCACUGGGAGCCGACGAAGGACGUAGCGAUCUACGAUAAGCCACGGUGAGCCGAAAGCAGGCAUCGACCCGUGGAUUUCCGAAUGGGGCAACCUGGCUGAAUAGAACUCAGUCAACAUACGGUGAAUAAAAUAGUCGUAUGUAGGGAACCGCCUGAACUGAAACAUCUAAGUAGGGCGAGGAAAAGAAAUCAACCGAGAUUCCGCAAGUAGUGGCGAGCGAACGCGGAAGAGGCCAAACCGAGAGUAGUAAUACUUUCGGGGUUCGGACAGAAAACGGUAUUGUAAAGGUUUAGUGGAAUGGAAUGGGAAGUCCAACCGAAGAAGGUGAGAGUCCUGUACACGAAAAGCCUGAACAGCCAUCUGUAUCCAGAGUACCGCCGGACACGUGAAACCCGGUGGGAAUAUGGGGGGACCAUCCUCCAAGCCUAAAUACUACCCAGUGACCGAUAGCGUAUAGUACUGUGAAGGAAAGGUGAAAAGAACCCCGGGAGGGGAGUGAAAAGAACCUGAAACCUUGUGCUUACAAGCACACAAAGCACGUCAACGUGUGAUGUGGUACCUUUUGUAGAAUGGUCCGGCGAGUGAAUGUAACUGGCGAGGUUAAGUUCUUAAGGAACGGAGCCGAAGCGAAAGCGAGUCUGAAUAGGGCGUCUUAGUCAGUUGUAUUCGACCCGAAACCGGGUGACCUAUCCAUGUCCAGGAUGAAGUUAAGGUAAAACUUGAUGGAGGUCCGAACCCACGGUCGUUGAAAUGCCCGGGGAUGAGAUGUGGAUAGCGGAGAAAUUCCAAUCGAACCCGGAUAUAGCUGGUUCUCUCCGAAAUAGCUUUAGGGCUAGCCUCGACUGAACAUUACCGGAGGUAGAGCACUGAAUGGGCUAGGGGCCGAGAGGUUACUGAACCCUAUCAAACUUCAAAUGCCGGAAAAUGAUAGUCGGGAGUCAGACUGCGUGAGAUAAGUUUCGUAGUCGAAAGGGAAACAGCCCAGACCCACAGCUAAGGUCCCAAAGUACGGUUAAGUGGAAAAGGAUGUGGGGUUGCACAGACAACCAGGAUGUUGGCUUAGAAGCAGCCACUCAUUAAAAGAGUGCGUAAUAGCUCACUGGUCGAGUGACUCUGCGCCGAAAAUUUAACGGGGCUAAAUCGUACACCGAAGCUUGGGAUGUAUCUAUGAUACAUGGUAGGAGAGCGUUGAAUGCGGGGUGAAGUCAGAGCGAAAGCGCUGGUGGACUGCAUUGAAGUGAGAAUGCCGGAAUGAGUAGCGAGAUUUAUGUGAGAAUCAUAAAGGCCGAAAGACUAAGGUUUCAGAAGGAAGGUUCGUCCGCUUCUGGUUAGCCGGGAGCUAAGGUGAGGCCGAAAGGCGUAGCCGAUGCACAUACGGUGGAGAUUCCGUAGCCGUCGAAAUAUUUAAGCAAAGGGACACUUAUGAAGGACAUGACCCGGGCGAUGGUAGCCCCGGGCGUAAGGGACCGAAAACAAGUAGGGAAGCAUGUUUGGAUUAAGGCGAGAAAAGCUUUGUGUAUAUAUGAGACGUCCGUACCGCAAACCGACACAGGUAGUCAGGAAGAGGAUUCUAAGGCCAACGGGAGAAGGGUAGUUAAGGAACUCGGCAAAUUGACCCCGUAACUUCGGGAUAAGGGGCGGUGCGCAAGCACCCGCAGUGAAUAGGUCCAGGCGACUGUUUAUCAAAAACACAGCUCUCUGCUAAAUCGAAAGAUGACGUAUAGGGGGUGACACCUGCCCGGUGCUGGAAGGUUAAGAGGAGGAGUGCAAGCUCCGAAUUGAAGCCCCAGUAAACGGCGGCCGUAACUAUAACGGUCCUAAGGUAGCGAAAUUCCUUGUCGGGU
rnacentral:rRNA from 1 species